GAUGAACGCUAGCGGCAGGCUUAACACAUGCAAGUCGAGGGGCAGCAUAAUAGCUAGUAAUAGUUAUGGUGGCGACCGGCGGAUGGGUGCGUAACGCGUAUGCAACCUACCUAUAACAGGGGGAUAAUCUGGAGAAAUUCGGUCUAAUACCCCAUAUGACAUUUUAUGGCAUCAUAUUAUGUUGAAAUUUUCGGAGGUUAUAGAUGGGCAUGCGUGACAUUAGCUAGUUGGUAAGGUAACGGCUUACCAAGGCUACGAUGUCUAGGGGGACUGAGAGGUUAACCCCCCACACUGGUACUGAGACACGGACCAGACUCCUACGGGAGGCAGCAGUGAGGAAUAUUGGUCAAUGGACGGAAGUCUGAACCAGCCAUGCCGCGUGCAGGAAGACGGCUCUAUGAGUUGUAAACUGCUUUUGUACGAGGGUAAAGUGGGCUACGUGUAGUCUUUUGAAAGUAUCGUACGAAUAAGGAUCGGCUAACUCCGUGCCAGCCGCCGCGGUAA
rnacentral:rRNA from 1 species